UUUGAAGUUACCAGAGAAUGGAGCGCGGACUGUAGCAAAUUACCUGGGCUGAAACAUUUUUGACAUAAGUCCUAAGAUGCGAGUGAGCCACUUCUCCUGGAGGCCCCAUCGGGAGCGUUUAAUCUCGGGCCAUGAGAGGCAGCAUUGCUGACAGAGUGACAGGACAGCUGGACAUGCUUCCAGGCAGCAGUCACGGACACGGCAGUCUUCGAAGCAGAGACUUAAGCACCAUGAUGAUGGCAGCAGGGGGCAGCUGAAAGGGCUUGGAGUUGGCAGAGAUGCAGCAUGGACUGACAGGCAGGCACUCACUGGUGACAGAGCACCGGAGCUUCUGUCUCUUUGAAGGUGAUAAGACUUAUAGUGAGGGGAUUUCCUUUCCUCUGAAGGCCUCCAAAUUAAUGUGAAGUGUCCUUUUGAAGUUCCUCACAACAUCAGUAAGAGAAUAAGUGCUAGAAGGAGUGACUGAUUUCUCGCUGAACAACAAAAUCAACCACCGGCCCAAUAAAGGAGGAGACUAUUGAUUUAGGCAACUGGAAUCCAGACAAGUGCUUGACAAGCGGAAAUAAUUUCUCCUCAAGAGACGUCAAUAUGUUCUGAUGGGGUUAUUAAGGGGAAUCAAAGAUAUUUGCAUUUAGACAAUGAGCAAUUUGUCAUGUAAACCGAAAUUUCUUCUCACCCUUGAAUGCAAAGGAACUCUAGCAGGAACCAAAUGAAAGUUAAUCAGGAAUGUAUGGCACAACACACAUGAUGAAUGAAGUGCUUUAUUGCAGAGCUAGGAAAACAAAGUAAUCUCUCAACAUCCUCAUCCAUGUAAUGCGUUUAGAGGACCACACAAACAAACAAUUACAAGUAAUUCUUGAAAACUACCCUUGGGGUUUAAGGCCAAAGCAUUUAUUUUGUACGCCUACAGUAUAAUGUGUGCAUGCUAACAGUUUAUGUACUAAAAGGUAAAGAUUUUGAGACAAAAUCACAAAGGUUUCCUCUGCCAUGCACUCUGUUCAUUGCACACCUAGAUGCAUGACAAAUUCCUCUCACCUAUCAGCUUUCCUUGGCCUACAAGGCAGUCCUCUGCUAAACCCUCUUUUAUUUUGCGCUCUUCUUGUUUUGUUAUUUUACCUGGCAGUCCAGGUGUGAAGGGGUGAGGCCGUGGAAAAACAUUCAAUUCUGCAGGCUUGUCAUGAAAGAAUCCAUUGAUUGACCUCUACAUCAAG